CCUACGGGAGGCAGCAGUGAGGAAUAUUGGUCAAUGGGCGGAAGCCUGAACCAGCCAAGUAGCGUGCAGGAUGACGGCCCUACGGGUUGUAAACUGCUUUUAUACGGGAAUAACGCGCCUUACGUGGAGGGCUUUGCAUGUACCGUAUGAAUAAGGACCGGCUAAUUCCGUGCCAGCAGCCGCGGUAAUACGGAAGGGCCGGGCUGUAACCGGAUGUUUUGGGUUGAAAGGGAGCGUAGGCCGCAUGUCAAGCGUGCUGUGAAAUGUCCGGGCUCAACCCGGGCCGUGAAGCGCGGAAUGGCGUGCGUGAGUCCGCGGAAAGCAGGCGGAAUUCGUCGUGUAGCGGUGAGAUGCUUAGAUAUGACGAAGAACCCCGAUUGCGAAGGCAGCUUGCUGCAGCGGAACUGACGCUGAUGCUCGAAAGCGCGGGUAUCGAACAGGAUUAGAUACCCCUGUAGUC
rnacentral:rRNA from 1 species